rnacentral:rRNA from 1 species
GUGGGGAAUCUUGCGCAAUGGGCGAAAGCCUGACGCAGCCAUGCCGCGUGGAUGAUGAAGGUCUUAGGAUUGUAAAAUCCUUUCACCGGUGAAGAUAAUGACUGUAGCCGGAGAAGAAGCUCCGGCUAACUUCGUGCCAGCAGCCGCGGUAAUACGACGGGGGCUAGCGUUGCUCGGAAUUACUGGGCGUAAAGGGAGCGUAGGCGGACAUUUAAGUCAGGGGUGAAAUCCCGAGGCUCAACCUCGGAACUGCCUUUGAUACUGGGUGUCUUGAGUGUGAGAGAGGUGAGUGGAACUCCGAGUGUAGAGGUGAAAUUCGUAGAUAUUCGGAAGAACACCAGUGGCGAAGGCGACUCACUGGCUCAUUACUGACGCUGAGGCUCGAAAGCGUGGGGAGCAAACAGGAUUAGAUACCCGAGUAGUCC